GAUGAACGCUAGCGGCAGGCUUAAUACAUGCAAGUCGAGGGGCAGCAGGUCUGUAGCAAUACAGAUGCUGGCGACCGGCAAACGGGUGCGGAACACGUACAGAACCUUCCUUCGAGCGGGGAAUAGCCCAGAGAAAUUUGGAUUAAUACCCCAUAGUAUACUGAAGAGGCAUCUCUUUGGUAUUAAAGAUUUAUCACUUGAAGAUGGCUGUGCGGCUGAUUAGGUAGUUGGCGGGGUAACGGCCCACCAAGCCUGCGAUCAGUAACUGGUGUGAGAGCACGACCAGUCACACGGGCACUGAGACACGGGCCCGACUCCUACGGGAGGCAGCAGUAAGGAAUAUUGGUCAAUGGACGAAAGUCUGAACCAGCCAUGCCGCGUGAAGGAUGAAGGUCCUCUGGAUUGUAAACUUCUUUUAUAUGGGACGAAAAAGGGGCUUUCUAGCUCAACUGACGGUACUGUAUGAAUAAGCACCGGCUAACUCCGUGCCAGCCGCCGCCGUAAUAC
rnacentral:rRNA from 1 species